rnacentral:lncRNA from 10 species
CUGGAUGUUAAGUGCCAAGAGAAUUUGGGCAGGGCACUGAUGGCAAAUGUUAUAUCUUCCCUGCACUCUCUCUUAGGAAACUACUGAAGAAUGUGCUCCACCAAAACAGUGUUGUGAGUCAAGAAAGAGGAAGAGGCGGAAUUCAGGAACCAGAGCACUCAACACAGAGUCAGAAGAAAAGCUAUGAGCAACUGGGAAAUCAAAACUGAAAUUCCUUUGAAAGAGCCAUUGAUGCCAAACUGACCUGAAAUCUGGGGCUACCCUAAGAGGGCUUUGGCCUAAAUAAAUGGUCCAGGGUAAGUACAAAGAAAGGAUUCUAUCAAAUGCAAAAAUGAGACCAGGAUUAUAUUAAGGGAGCUAGUAACAGCACUUGAGUGCAAGUAGAAUACAUUCUUAAUUAUGUCUAGUAUGAAUUUCUUUAAAUUCUUUAAAAGCCAGUUGUUUUAAAAUACAGAAAUUAAAAAUAUUACUAUAUUGAUUUAUAGUUUUAAUUUUAAAAACCAUGGGAGUACUUUGUACAGUCUUUUAAUUAACCGUAUCUAUGACUGAAAUUGCACAUCGUUUAGGUCUCUGGCCCGAUCAUGAUACCAGAGUCUGUUACUUUCUGAUUGCAGGCAAAAUAACUACAGGAAUGAGGCCUCCUGAAGGCAGAAUCAGUUCUCCUUUCUCUUCCUGCCUUCAAUCUUUACCUACUAGAUCCUUCUCCUCAGCCUAGAAAAAUGCCCAAAAAGUUCCAAUCUAAAAUAAAAAUAAAGAAGGAAUUCUCACUUAAGCUAUCACCCAAACUUUCUCUUUUCCUUCAUCAUAAUACUUCUAAAAAAAUACGCUAACUUCCUUUUCUUCCUUUACUUCCUCACCACAUACUACUUCUUAACUCCUUGUAAUCUAGCUUUCACUUUGACCGUUGCACUGAACCUGCUGUCUCAGAGGUCUCAAAGGACUUCUUACUUGCUAAAUUUCGGUCCUGCUUAGCCCUCAUCCUCCUCAACCUCUCUGUUUUUGACUUUCAAAAUGUCUCACUGUGUCUCUCUCUGUUGCUCUGUCUCUCUCUCUUCUCUCUGUCUCUCUCACCCACCCACCCUCUAGCCCCCUUAUUCUGUGUUAUUCCUCUCUUUUGGUUUUCUCUCCUCCCUUAUUAUUCUUCCUUUGAGUCUUCUGUCCCGCUCAUUCUCUUAAGAAUAGGCAUCCAAUGAGAUCCCAUGACUCCCUGCAAUAUCUGGGAUCUGCCUAUGUCUCCAAACUCAUAUGCACCCUGUUCCCCCUUGUUCAUUUCACUCCAGUCACACUGAUGUUUCAGUUCCUCUAAUGGGCCAAUGAGCUCUUUAUUACCUUAGGACCUGCUCUCUCUACCUGGGACACUCUUCCCCAUGUUCCCCCACACCCAAAGCGCUUCAUCUGGCUAUUUCCAAAUCAACUUUCAGGUCUCAGCUUCAUAUUACUUCCUCAGAGUGGCUCUCCCUAAGUGCAUCCCCUCCCCACCCCUCCAAAUUAAAUCUGUUUCCCCAUUUUUUCUAUUUUAGAAAUAGUUUUUUUAUCAAAUUAUUAUAUGGUUUAAAAUGAAAGACUACUUGUGUGUUUAUUUGCUUAAAUCUCUACCUUUCUCUCCAGAGUGUAAUUUCCAUGAGGACAGGAACCAUGUCAGUUUUGUUUAACACUGUAUCCUUAGCAUUCAACACAGACCUUGAAGCAGCAGACAACAAAUAUUGGUUGAAUAAAUGAGUGAACGAAGUGCCAGGCACUACAGUAAGUACUUCUUCCUGCCAGGCGCUAUGGCAAGUACUUUACAUAUAUCACCUCGUUUUUAUUCUUACCACAACCCUAUGCAUAGGUACUACUAUCAGAUGAGGAAAUGGAAGCUUACAGAGACAGACCAAUAUGCCCAAAAUCUCACAGAAAAAUGAAUGUAGCUAUCACGACGUGAAAAGAUGUAGAGGAACCUUAACUGCAGAUUAUUAAGUUAAAGAAGCUAAUCUAAAAAGCCUUCAUACUGUAUGAUUCCAACUAUGUGACAUUCUGGAAACAGCAGAACUAUAGAGACAGUAGAAAGGUCAAUAGUUGCUGGGGGUUGUCCUCGGGAGGGAUGAAGAGGCAGAGCACAGAGGAUUUUGAGGAACGAAAAUACUCUGUAUGAUAUAUAAUAGUGGAUACGUGUCAUACAUUUGUCCAAACCCAUAGAAUGCACGAUGCCAAGAGUGAAUCCUAAUUGACACUACGGACUUGGAUGGUGAUGAUGGGUUGAUGUAGGUUCAUCAGCUGUAAAAAAUGUACCACUCUGUGUGGGGAUGUUGAUAAUGGAGAGGGCCUUUGCAUGUGUGGGGACAGGGAGUAUAUGAGAAAUUUCUAUUCUUUCUGCUCAAUUUUGCUGUGAAUCUAAAACUGCUCCAAAAAAUAAAAUAUUUUAAAAAUGAGUGUCAGAGGUAGGAUAUGAAAACAUUUGUUUGACUCUAUGUAGGGCUUAAUUAUAAUAUUAUACUGCUUCCCAGUUGACAAAUCUAAUACUUUCACCGUCCAAAACUUCCCUCACACUUACUUCCUGUUGUCUGUUUCUAUGGUUUCUCUUGAGUCCUCCUUCCAGGAUCCAUUCCAAGCCAGACAAUGGUAUGUGGGUGAGAAACUGUGGUCAUGGAGGAGACUGGACAGACCGGAAAGCUUUUCUUUUCUAACACAUGUUUCUGAGGAGCCCUCAGGAAGCCUGUGAACCAGGAAAACCACGGUGAUGGUCAAUGCUCUGACAGCUCCCCUGCCCCUUUCUCCAUGCUCUUCUCCUGCCGUGCCUUCCCCAAGGCUGUGGGUUGCUCCCCACUGUGCUGCUCCCCUUGGGCCUUCUCUCCCUGCCCACAUAUGCAUGUGCCAGCCCUUUCCCCUCACAAAAAUGUCAACAUAGAAUGGUAAGUAGAAAAAAAAUAAGAUGCAAUAUCGUACAAAUAGUUGUUAUGGGUUGAAUUGUGUCCUCCCAAAAUUGAUAUGUUGGAGUCCUAACCCCCGUUACCUCGGAAGGUGACCUUAUUUGGAAAUAAGGUUGUUGUAGGUAUAAUCAAUCAAGUUAAGAUGAGGUCAUAAUGAAGUAGGAGGGAACUUAAUUCAAAAUGACUAUUAUCCUUAUUAAAAGAAUGCCAUGUGGAGAGACAGACAUGCACCAAGGAUACUGCCAUGUGGAGAGGAAGGCAGAGACUGGGGUGAUGCAGCAGAAGCUGAGAAACACCAAAGACUUCCAGAAAAACAGCAGAAGACAGGAGAGAGGCCUGGGACAUAUUCUUUCUCACAGUCCUCACUAAGAACCAAUUUGCCAACACCUUGAUCUCAGACUUCUAACCUCCAGAACCGUGAGACAGCAAAUUGCUGUUACUUAAGCCACUCAGUUGUGGUACCUUGUUAUGGAAGUGCUAGCAAGCUCAUAGAAAUAACAGAAUCCUGAUCUUGUAAAGCAAAAUAAACUCAUGUAUUACGGGUUAUCAUCUUGCAUACGCACAUACACAUAUACAUAGAUGAACACAUAGAAACAAUGAAAGGCAAUAUAUUUUAAAAGUUAUCAAUACUUCUUUGGGGAUAAUGGAUGCUGAGUAAUUUUGCUUUGUACUUUUCUCUGCACCUUUGGGUAUUUUCUCAGUUAUCUUACCUCUCUACAAUAUUAUGCAUUAUUACCUAGACCAGCGGUCCCCAACCUUUUUGGUACCAGGGACCUGUUUUGUGGAAGACUAUUUUUUCCACAGGUGGGGCAGCAGUGGGGAUGGUUUCAGGAUGAAACUGUUCCACUGCAGAUCAUCAGGCAUUAGAUUCUCAUAAGGAGCAUGCAUCCUAGAUCCCUUCCAUGCACACUUCACAAUAGGGUUUGUGCUCCUAUGAGAAUCUAAUGCUUCCACAGAUCUGACCAGGAGGUGGAGUUCAGGGGGUAUAUGGCCUGGUUCUUAACAGGCCAUGGACUAGUACCUGUCCAUGCCCCGGGGGUUGGGGAUCUCCGACACAGACAGAUCCCCAGACCUCAGUUUCCUCAUCUGUAAUUUGAGAAUAGUUAUACCAAUCUUCCAGCAUUGUUGUGAGGAAUAAAGUGCCUGACACAAAUAAUAGGUCAGUGGGUCUUCCUAGAAUAGGGAGAGCAGCUCCAAAGAAGUAAACCUGGACAGACCUCUGUACCUCUAUUCAUCAUCAGGCUUCAGUGUUGCUGCUAAGCAGGCAUGCGGAUGCUGCUCAGCACUGGCCUCCCUGUGUGGUAAGGGUGGGUGUGCAGAGAUGAGAUGGCACAGGGGAGCUAGCUGGAUGUCUUGGGUUUGGGAAGGUCAGCAAAGAAAGGUAAGAGAGGGUGAAAGUUUGAUUGAAGAAUGUUGGCUAUGUAAGGACAACUUAACCCAUUGGGGUAACAUUUCUUAGUUUGGGUUGGGGUCCAAUGGGGCAACUGAAAAGGAAAAAGGAACCAAGAGAAUAGAAAGCAUAGCCAAGAAGCCCAACAAUCCCCUCCUACAGGAAGAAUGCCUUGCCUCCUCAUUUCUUCUCUGAAACCCCUCUGGAAAUGGGAGUGGACAAUGUAACUUACUUAUCAUUUUCCACAGCCCAUGGGAAGGUGUUCUUUCCCCAGGAGGAAUGUUUCCCAAACAGCCCUCCUUCUGGCCUUAUCUGUGAUAAGUUGUUCUUUUCUGGGGACUGUUUGGGUAUCCUUGACUCUGACAUACUCAGUAGGGCAGGUUAAUUCUCUUGAAUCUUAAAUUUAGCCAUCUGUGACUUCAUAUUAAUCUUUGGUCUCCAAAAACAUUGGGCUGUUUUGCCUCUUUCUACUCACUUAUGUCUUCUUUAUCUUAAUUCCAAAUCCCAGCAACUCAGAGAAGAAAUGGGUCCUGCAAAUGAUAUUCACAAUCUAUUGCUUUAUGGGAGGUCAGUGAAGGCCUUUCCCAUUUACUUUGUUAAAAUCUAUAUCUAUUUUCAUUCCUAAUUUUUUAUCUGCAAGAUUAUGUAGCAACAUGGGAAACAUUUAUAAUAUUAAAUAGUGAAAGAAGGGGACACAAAAAUUGCAUGUAAAUUAUGAUUCUAUUUGAAAAAAAGACUGAGCAAAUAGACAAUCAAAAAGACAUACACACAUACGAGAAAAAUAAAACUGGAAGAAAACAGAGCAAAAAAUGAAUAAUGACUAUGGUAAAGUGCUGGAAUUGUGGAUUUUUUAAAUUCUUCUCUAUUUACCUAAAAAUUUUAAGGUAAUAAGAAAAUACUUUUAUAAUUAAGAAACAGACUUACUAAAAUAAAGUAGGGGCAGAAAUGAGGAACAAAGUUUGCUAAAAUAAAUAAAACAGGAAAGCUUGUAGAUAAGGUUUUAUGGAAGUAAAUAUACGUAGCUCCCAGCUUAGUGUGUGUGAGCUGAUGGAGAAACACGACUACAGAGCUCUUAUGGAAAGCAUUUAACCAUUUGUCACCCUUGCAGUCUACUUCAAGAGUGACUAAAAGGAAGAACAACAUGAGGAAGACUUCAAAUGUGUUGAGGAUUUGAGAAGAGGGGCUAGAAGUCCAGGCAUGUUAGAGGUUUGGGGGCUGUAGAGAGAUACUGUAGAAGUUACUAAAUUGGGGGUUUUAUGGGAAGUGCUUCAAGCAUGACAUUGUGAGGCUAUGAUACUGUUUAUUUUUAGAAGUCCUGUUGAGAGGAGUAUCUUUCACCUCUCACUAAAUUAGCUAUGCUCCUUGGAACCAUGGACAUCUUUCUGCUGUAGCAGCAAUAGGAUCAAAGCACGUGUUUAGAAAGAGAAGUGAAAAACACCAGAUGUGAGCAAAACCACAAGGGGAAUUUCAGACAGGCAGCAUGCACCAGAUGACCCAAUUUGGAACGUGGCCCAGGCCCCAGGACAGGCAGACCCUGUAAGGAUCAGGCUGGACAGUCAGAGGUUAUUGAUCCCGAUUUAAGCCAAAUGUUGCUAAAACUUGAUCUGUGACCUUGCUUAAGCCAUUGACCUCCUCUAAACCACUUUCACCAUCUGUAAAAUGCAAGGACUGUGAAUUUCCUCUCAGGAAUAGCUAAUGGAAACCAUGCUAAAAAGUAGAGAUAAGAAUGAAGCACGAUCUUGCGAUCUUGAACAAUGGUGGUAAAUUGUAUUUGAUUAUAUAAAUACCACAACAUACACACACUUACAGUGUAUAGAUGCGCACACUUUAUGAGAAGAAUGUGUAUAAAAAACAUAGAAUUGGCCGGGCGCGAUGGCUCAUGCCUGUAAUCCCAGCACUUUGGGAGGCCGAGGCAGGUGGAUAUCUUGAGGUUAGGAGUUCCAGAUGAGCCUGGCCAACAUGGUGAAACCCCGUCUCUCCUGAAAACACAAAAAUUACUGGGGCAUCCACCUGUAAUUCCAGCUACUUGGGAAACUGAGGCACAAGAAUCACUUGAACCCAGGAGGCGGAGGUUGCAGUGAGCUGAGAUUGCACCACUGCACUCCAGCCUGGGCAACAGAGCAAAACUCCAUCUCGAAAAAACAAAACAAAAAAACCCCAUGGAUUAAAGAUUGUGUUCCAUCAAUUCACAGAGUAAAUAAUCUAUGUGUUGACAAUUGAAGGGGUAGAAAAAAUAUUUUUUCUCUUACACAUAGCUCUUUAAGAUUCCUAGGGCCAGAUUCAGCAUACUGUCUAGCACAGUUAGUGACAAAUGAAUGCUAGUAUAGAAUAGAGAUUAUGCUUCAAAUUUCAACUGUCUUCACCACUUAGUUGCUAUGUGGCUUUGGGUAAGGCACUCCAUCAUUUUGUGCCUUGGUUUCCUAAUCUGUUAAAUGGGAAAAAUACUAGUAUCUACCUCAUAGACUUGUGAAGAUUACAUAAAGUGAUAUAUCUAAAGAGCUUAGAUGAGUGCUGGGUGGAUAAUGUUAGUUAUUACUAUCUUCUAAAGUCUUCUAUGUGGACUUCAAAGCUCUCUGCAUUUCUUUAUUUCAUCUCUGUUUUCUCAUUUAAAUGUUUCCCACAUUCUUGCUCCAUUCAAGAAUAUUUCUUGUUUGUCUUAUUCAUCUAUGUAGGAUAUUGCUCCCUGUAGACUUUAAACCAGCUUACUCAUUCCCCCUCAAAGCCAUUACUGUUUUCCUAUUUACGUCAAUUUUGAGUCAGUCUCUAAGUUGACCCUACAACCAGAAAUCUAUGAAGCGUCACUCAAUCCUCUGUUCUCCCACUCCUGGGCUUCUUAUAUAACAGGAUGUCCUCUUAACCACAGGGGAUGUUUCACUAAAAUUAAAAUGUAUAUCUUUAUUUUCUUUAAUAGAAGAAGUAAUCAGUUAUGGCAUCACAGUAUAUAACAGAAAAUCAGCUUGGGAUCACUGAGCAUGGCUGUCUUUAAGAGGAUGGGGCAGUGAAAGGAGUCCUGGGUGCAGUGAAAAUGCCUUCUACCCUUUGGAGAGAUGUUGACAUUGGAGAGAAAGAGGGAUGCAGUACUGGGUCCAGGAAGGGAAGAUGUUGGAAUUCAUCCUAGGUCUCAUGUACCAAGGAAGUGACUCUGUAUGAGAACAGAGGGGAAAAUCAACAACUGAUCAGUGAUAACUAUGGUAUUUUGGCCUUAGGGCUAUUAGGGGAUGAUGAGGGCAAAACUGAGAGGAAUGUUAGGGAAUCACUUUCUCUAAAGUAUCAAUAUAAAUUGACUCUACUUUUGGCACUCACGGAAACAGCAGAAAGAGGACAUCACAACCCCUACCUGGACAACUUCUGAUCCAGUUUCACCAACAACAGCGUCACUCCUUUCGAAGAGCACUCUUGUCUUCCACUGUUACCUUGUAUGAUUAUGUGAUUGUUAUCGUCCUUAUCAUUAUCACUCUCAAAUCACUUGAAUUUCUUGCAUCCCUCCACUAUGUUAUCUUCUAAAAUAAUUUUACUAUAAGAUGAUUUAAUCCCAUGGAAAUUUUUGAGCCCCUAUUAUGAAGGCUAAAUCCUAGGGAAUACAAAGAUGAGUAAAAGAGUCAUUGCUCUUAAGGAGCUCAUAUCACAAGAUUUAGGCAGAUUGAAAUUGCUAACCAACAUUUAACCCAGGUCCAGGUGCUCCUAGUUAUCUUCCCUAUUGGUUUGUCUUGUCCUGUUCAUUUAUUUAACACAUAUUUAUUUAUUUCUUUAUUUGAGACGGAGUCUCGCUCUGUCGCCCAGGCUGGAGUGCAGUGGCGCGAUCUCGGCUCACUGCAAGCUUCGCCUCCCCUGGGUUCACGCCAUUCUCCUGCCUCAGCCUCCCCAGUAGCUGGGACUACAGGCACCCGCCACCAUGCCCAACUAAUUUUUUUGUAUUUUUAGUAGAGAUGGGGUUUCACCGCGUUAGCCAAGAUGGUCUCAAUCUCCUGACCUCGUGUGAAAGUGCUGGGACUAUAGGCGUGAGCCACUGCGCCCGGCCUUAACACAUAUUUAUUGAGCACCUACUAUGUGCUAGGCACUGGGCUAGCCUAAGGAUGCAAUAGCAACUAAAAUAAGCAUCAUAUUUACUUUUAGAGAAUAUAACUGCAAUGUGAAGAAUUAGGCUCAAUGAUAUACCUGGUUGACUACAGAAGAAAUAUUAAGUAUUCCUGACUCUCCUCCACAGAGUGGGGUGCACUCCAGUGCACUCCUCUUCCAACCAUUACGUAGUGAAGUUAUAGCUGAGACAUAUUUAGUUCUUAUGUGAGUCCAACUUGAGAGGCACCUGACAAUAAGAGGACAAAUCUCCACUGUAAUGCUGAAUAGCUGGUAGUCUCAUGUCCAGUAUUCCUGUGCAAACACCCUUGCAGGAACCAAGUACCCUUCAUAUUAUGCCCUGAUUCUAUAUGGGUUAGACAUAUACAUCAAAUAAUUUUGGUUUGUCAAUAAACAAUCUAAAUAAUAGAAGGUAAAGUCAAUUAUAUAAAGUUUCCAAAGAAGGAUAGGGGAAGAGUUUCCAAGAAAAGUUUUUUCUUAUUGGAAGAAGCAUAUCAGAUGAAGGCAAGCAUUACUUUAUGUAUAUAUGUAUGUUUGUAUGUAUUUUAAGGCAGGGUCUGGCACUGUCACUCAGGCCAGAGUGCAGUGGCAUGGAUCUUGGCUCACUGCAACCUCAGUCUGCUGGGCUCAAGUGAUGCUCCCACCUCAGCCUCCCAAGUAGCUGGGACUACAAGCAUGCACCACCACAUCCAGCUAAUUUCUGUAUUUUUUUGUAGAGAUGGGGGUCUUACCAUGUUGCCCAGGAUGGUCUCGAACUCUUGGCUCAACUGAUCCUCCUGCCUCGGCCUCACAUAGUUCUGGGAUUACAGAUGUGAGCCACCACACCUGGUGGCUCACUAAUUUUCACUAAUGGCAAUAAAACCACUACUUACAAUAUCAGAGUGUACAACUAAUGUAUUAGCUGACUAAAUAAGGGAUGUAGUAAAUUUAGUCAGGGCUUCUGCCUAUAUAGAGUAAGACCCCAAGGCAUGGAAGAAUGACUCACUGUAAUAAACUAAGCCAACUAAAUAUUGAUGAAUAGUGCUCACAUAACAGCAUAAUAUUAGAACAGAAAAGAAAAUUAUAGAUUGUACUGGAUAACUCAUUCAAGCAUAAAAUUUGGAAUCUGAUGGUCCUAGGUUCAAAUUCCAACUCAGCUUCCUCUUUGCCACCUCUGUGGCCUUGGGCAACUUGAGUAUUUUUAAAUUUGAAUACUACAGAUCUAUAUUCCUAGCUAGUAGAGUUCUUUCUCUUAUGGAUUAAAUAAAGUAAUACAAUUGAAGUCACAUGGUGCACAGUGAGCACUUCAUAAAUACUCUAGUCUUCUUUUCAUUGUACAGAAAAGGAACAAAAGCCUGGAGGACUGAUCUAACUUUCCUGAAGGCCCACAGUUAACCAAUGUCAGAUCCAGAUGAAAGCCCCUGGCUUCCUGACUCCUGGUCCAGCUGGCUGUCUAUGAUUUCCAAAACAGGGCUGUGCCAAAGACAACUGAAAAUACAUUUACCUCUGUUUUUUUAAAGCUGAAGAGAAUGAAGUAAAAAGAGAGGAGGAGGCUGAUGUGGGGUGAGAGGUAUAAGAAGCAGAUUUACUUUCCUGGUUUUGCAUUACCUUCCUGAGUUUACACUGCCUGAGCACACACCCACUAACGGUGGGGGGAAGUGGCAGAGCGUAGCCAACAUGGGAUUAAAAAUUGUGUUACAUCAACCCACAAAGUAAAUAAUCUACCUGCCCACAGUUGAAGAGGGUGUAACAGGGUAUUGUGUUUUUUCUCACACAUAGUUCUUUGGGUCUGCUAGGGUCAUUCCAGAUCUAAUUUUCCAGAAGAUCCUAUAUACGCCUUUCCAUUGGAGUUUUGAGCUUGCUAAUGUGUGGAUUUGGCAGACAAAUGCAAAUUAAAGAAGAUAUAUAUGAAAAAUCACUUGUAGCCUAAACAUGAUUUCUGUGUGGGACUGGUGCUCCACAUGGAUAAAAAAGCCAUGGGCCAGAGACAGGAUGCUUGACUGCUUCCCUGCACUGCUGUUAACACUCGGGGGGACCCAAGAAAGGAGAUUAACUUCUCUGGGCAUCUAUUUUGUCACCUAUAAAAUACCAUCAAGUAGUCAUUUGCUAUACAUUGAAUGCAAGACGUUUGUCACAUUUUAUUUUUCUGUAUCCUUUUAAGAGCUUCAUGGGGCAGAUUGUACUCCCACAUUACAAGUAAAGAAAUAAGGGCUUAGAGAUAUUGUGACUUGUCCAACGUCAUUUAGCUGGUAAGUGGUAGAAUCUGACAGAACCUGGAUUUGAACCCAGAAUCUGCUUUCAACCUCCAAGCUACACUACUUAAUAUUGUGAGGGAGGGAAAGGAUGUUAACCUUCAAAGUACUUUACAUCAGUUUAAACAAAUGUUCAAUACAAUCAUUUAUUAGGGGUAUAAUUCCUAGGAGGUGCCUGUACUUAAGUCAUUUUCAGCUCAUUGACUUUCUCAUUCAUUGCCUCUCAUCUGACCUGUGAGCCUCAAACCACAGUUAUCCUAUUUCAUUUCCUUUGUUUUUGGUGUCAGUACUCCUCCCACAUUGGCUGAUUUCAGGGGGAGCCGGCACCACUUCUCUUCAAGUAGGGGAGUGUAAGUGUAGGAAGCCACUCAUACACACACACAUAAAUAUGCGCGUGCACGCACACACACACACACACAUUCAUAUUAGUUUGUGAUACACAUACGUGGUUUCAGAAAUUGACAAUUUAAGAAUAUGUCAUUAUUAUGACAGUGCAUAUAUCAUGUAUAAAUAAUUCCCCAGAAUUGGGGUUGGGUGAAAAAAACGCUGUGAUAAGGUGAUAGAAAGUGAAGAGACAUGUACUAAGGAGAAUACUAAGAGACUUAGAACCUUCUGGCUUCAGCCCCCACCUUGAAUUUUAAAAGAAGUUCAUGAAUUUUUUCCUGCUCAUUCGGUCUCCUGAAAGAUCCUUACCCUUGGUAGGAAAUGAGCUUGAUACAACCCAGUGUUGUAUCAACUGAUACUGAGCUUUCACUCUGUUAUCUGUAUCUGCAUUCCAGGUAGUGGUGGUCAUCAGACUGUAAACUUUGGAGGCUCAGGGUCACAUCUGUGGAAUUCUCUCUUCUGUGGUCCGGCAUGGCAUACAAUUAGCAAAUUGGUGAUGACAACGUUUUUCAUUCCUUCUAUUGCUUUUUAUUUGGUUUGUUCAGGAGACAGACACAAAAUAUUUUGAGACUCAUUUAAUUAUAGCCCACAACUGUCAUGGCAUUCAACAAGUGCAGUUAUUCGUUAAAUAUGUACUUGUUGAACAUCAUGGUACUAUUAUUGAACAUCACAAUAAUAUUUCAUUUUUUGCAUUAACCCUUAAUGGUUACAAAGUGCAUCUAUAAUUAGUGUCACACCUAGGCUUCCUAAGAAUCCUUUGAGAAGGGAGAAAGGGAUAAAAGCAUUACCUACCUUAUGAGGAUUUGUGAGAAUCAUACAAUAAAAGACAAAAGUGCUUAGCACUGGAAGCUGAUGCAGCGUAAACAAUCAUGAAAUGUUACUACUAGCACAGUUAUUAGCCCAUAUUACUGAUGAUAUACCUCACUUCCUCAAGUUUGCACAGUGAAGUAGUAGAAUUCAGCUAAGAAUCUGUUUCCAGACCCCAAAUCUGUCUUAGGAAACUAUCAGUUGAGAUCGCAAUUAUGGAAGGCAAAAAAACAGAGCCUUAAAGGGAGAGCAAACAUGACAGGUUUUAUGGUGGGUGAGUAGGCAGAAGUGUUUAGGGACCUUAUGUGCAUUGUCAAGUGCUCAGGGGAGAGGGUGAGGCCCAGGCUAUGUACCACAGGCAGCUGUACAAUUCAUUUUUGGUUCCUCAAAUGUUCUAUCUUCCCUCAGCACCUUCACAUAGAAUGUGUUCCUUCUCCCCUGUCUUAUUCUCUGUCUUCACCUCUCUUCCCAACACUUCACCCAACAUUCACGCUUCCAGGCUCAACCCAAACAUCUCUUCUUCCAGGAUGCUCUCCCUGAGCCCCUGUCUGCACCUACUGACAGGCACUCACAGUACUCUGCAUGCCUCCUUUAGAGAACAGUUGUCCAAUAUUUGUCUUCCCAGCUAGGAGGUAAGCACUGAGAAGUCUGCAACUUUCCCUUGCUUGCCGGCUGAUGUCUCCCCAGCAGCAGUGUCCAGCACGUUUGUCAAGUGCGGAGCAGCUGCUGGCCACCUUAAAGAUGGAAAGGAACGAGACUGAAAAAAGGGUGGGAAGUCAUGAAAACAAAUUUAAAAUGCUUUACUAUUUUGCCCUAGAACCACUCGGGGUGGUGCUAUUGGGAAGAGCUAGGCAGUGAGAAAACAUAAAGGAGGCAACGGAAAGGAGCGAGAAAAAAGACACAAGAAAGGCAUGGAGAAGUCACUUGAUGCAAAGAGUAGCAGACAUAGGUGCUCAUCCUGAAGAAGGCUGGGCCAUGGAUGCCAAGCCUUCCGCAGACAUAUGAAAGGUUGCUGAGAAUUAGCCGUUUCUCUUUCUUUCAAACUUCCCCUUGUUUAUGUCUGCCGUCUUUUGUCAGAAAGAGAUGCAGGGGCCCUGCUCUCUCCAGAAGACUAACCCCUGCAGCAGUCCAUGGAAUCCAGGGCUAAGUCUGCUGAGGGGAGAGGGAGGGAGGGAAGAGUUUCCACCAGGAUGACAUAUUUCUGACUCUGCCCUCUGACAACAAAGGGUGCCGGUGGUGGGACUUUUGGCAGGAAGCACCCACCUUUGGGGGAGUCAGAAUCAUGUUGCGGGGUGACAGUGACUGAGGCGGACCCUGGAGCCCUGGCCGUCUUCCCUGCGCGGCCCUAGGCAGCGGUGCCUGGAUGAUCUCCUGGGCGCCUCCUCCGAGGUUCAGGCAGGGCUGAGGGAGGAUGCGAUGCCCGAGCUCCGGCAGGGCCCAUUUUGUUUAUGUUCCCACUCCUUCGCCCUGGGAAGCCCCGAGUUCCCACACUCACUGAGGCAGGAAGGUCACCACGGACACCUCAUCUGUCUGGGCCGUUGACUAACUACAGAUAAGCAGCAGCUGCCACAUCCAUGUUGGGGUCACCUCCCAGUCUGCCCACCCUGGAACCAGGGGAGAAGCCCCCAUCCCCGCCCACUUGCACAUGAUGCCUCCCCAGCAAGGUCAGCUGCUCCUGAGGCCAGGAUGGCGACAUGGGGCCACAGAAAAACUUGCUUUUGCGGGAGAAGCAAGACAUGACUAAGGGAUUGAAAGGUCUUAGACAUGACUACCCGAGAGCCCAGGCUUAUAUUUC